GGAGGUUAUCAAGGAGACAGGUGGUGCAUGGUUGUCGUCAGCUCGUGUCGUGAGAUGUUGGGUUAAGUCCCGCAACGAGCGCAACCCUUAUUGCUAGUUACCAUCAUUAAGUUGGGCACUCUAGGGGGGACUGCCGGUGAUAAGCCGCGAGGAAGGUGGGGGAUGACGUCAAGUCCUCAUGGCCCUUACGGGCUGGGCUACACACGUGCUACAAUGGCGGUGACAGUGGGAAGCGAACCCGCGAGGGUAAGCAAAUCUCCAAAAGCCGUCUCAGUUCGGAUUGCACUCUGCAACUCGAGUGCAUGAAGUUGGAAUCGCUAGUAAUCGUGGAUCAGCAUGCCACGGUGAAUACGUUCCCGGGCCUU
rnacentral:rRNA from 1 species